rnacentral:rRNA from 1 species
UAUAAGCAACUAUACGGUGAAACUGCGAAUGGCUCAUUAAAUCAGUUAUCGUUUAUUUGAUAGUACCUUACUACAUGGAUAACCGUGGUAAUUCUAGAGCUAAUACAUGCUAAAAACCUCGACUUCGGAAGGGGUGUAUUUAUUAGAUAAAAAACCAAUGCCCUUCGGGGCUCCUUGGUGAAUCAUAAUAACUUAACGAAUCGCAUGGCCUUGCGCCGGCGAUGGUUCAUUCAAAUUUCUGCCCUAUCAACUUUCGAUGGUAGGAUAGUGGCCUACCAUGGUAUCAACGGGUAACGGGGAAUUAGGGUUCGACUCCGGAGAGGGAGCCUGAGAAACGGCUACCACAUCCAAGGAAGGCAGCAGGCGCGCAAAUUACCCAAUCCCGACACGGGGAGGUAGUGACAAUAAAUACUGAUACAGGGCUCUUUUGGGUCUUGUAAUUGGAAUGAGUACAAUUUAAAUCCCUUAACGAGGAACAAUUGGAGGGCAAGUCUGGUGCCA